CCUACGGGUGGCAGCAGUAGGGAAUAUUGCUCAAUUGGGGAAACCCUGAAGCAGCAACGCCGCGUGGAGGCUGAAGGUUUUCGGAUUGUAAACUCCUUUUGUUAGAGACGAUAAUGACGGUAUCUAACGAAUAAGCACCGGCUAACUCCGUGCCAGCAGCCGCAGUAAUACGGAGGGUGCACGCGUUACUCGGAAUCACUGGGCGUAAAGCGCGCGUAGGCUGUUUAGGAAGUCGUGUGUGAAAUCCUAUGGCUUAACCAUCGGACGGCAUAUGAUACUGUGAGUCUAGAGUAAGGGAGAGGGAAGUGGAAUUCUUGGUGCAGGAGUAAAAUGCGUAGAGAUCGAGAGGAACACUCGUGGCGAAGGCGACUUGCUAGAACAUAACUGACGCUGAGGCACGAAGGCGUGGGGAGCGAAAGGGAUUAGAUACCCGUGUAGUC
rnacentral:rRNA from 1 species